CUUGUCCUACGGGGGGCAGCAGUGGGGAAUCUUCCGCAAUGGGCGAAAGCCUGACGGAGCAACGCCGCGUGAUCGAAUGAAGGCCUUCGGGUUGUAAAGAUCUGUUGACAGGGACGAAUAAGCAAUGCGAAUAGUUUUGUGUAUGACGGUACCUGUUUAGAAAGCUCCGGCUAACUACGUGCCAGCAGCCGCGGUAAUACGUAGGGAGCAAGCGUUGUCCGGAAUCACUGGGCGUAAAGAGCGCGUAGGCGGGAUAGCAAGUCAGAUGUGAAAUCCUAUGGCUUAACCAUAGAACUGCAUUUGAA
rnacentral:rRNA from 1 species